UUCUUCCUCUCCUACCCGCAUUCCCCAGAAAAAAGCAGAACAUGCGCGUAAAAAAAUCCCAGAAAUUUCGCAACCCAUUAGCCGUUUCUUGCGCGUGUCUGGCCUUACCCCUCACUCCUCGAUCCGUCCCCCUCCUGUGCAAGUCGUACGAGGGCGUUGGAGGACAGGCCCAGGUGGAGAAAUCUCCUUUCUCCAUCGUCCUUUGCUUGCAAAUUUGAUGGCUGUGAUCGCUUGUUCUGUUGAAGGUUCGUACUCGUUUGGCUGGCGUCCUUAUCCGUUGGGUGAAGAGAGGAUUUCGAAUUCAAAAGGGGACAUGAAUCAAGAAUUCGCCCCAAACCUUCUUUCGUUUUCCCCCCGCUCUCCACCUUUGAGAAAUGGCUAUGUAUAUUUCCAUUUGCUCACUGUUUGGGGGGUUGAAAAAUUUGUUUAGGAAGAAAUGUUUUCUGUUUUCUUAAAAAUUCUUGAAGAGAAUACUCAAUCUUUUCUUAGUCUAAAAAAAACAUUUCAAGACCGAAAGUUUAGUUCCGGUAGUGUUAUAGCAUUUCUGGCUUAUUGUUCGAGCUUUGUUUGUGGUUUCCACUCUGUUUGAGCUUUCUUGGUUGUUGUUUUGUAUCGACGUCUGCUUGGUGAGGAUUGUCAUUCCCCUGCUCGCCUGAUUCGGUUUGCUGCUCGAAAAAGGUAACCCCCUUUGACCUUAAAUUAUUUAGCGGACAUUUCAUUUAAUUUUGAUAAUAUGAAGCUUCUGUUAGCUGUGGUUCGUUGCUGACGGCUAGUUAUGGGCAGUUUGUUCUAAAUUGAAUGUGAUUUAGUUUUAUGAAUUAGAAGUUAUGUUCAUGUGUGUAUUGUUGUUUCCUUUCGUGAAUAAUGGUCGAAUCCUGAAGUUGUUUAACAAGGAGAUAGAAUGUUGUUGUAUCUAUCGUCUAUUAGAUGCGACAACUCAUUCUUCUCUACUCUUACUUUCCAUGUUUGUCCUGUCCUUUAGCGUAUUCUGUUUGGAUUAUCUUCCAUCUUCGUGUUGCUUAAAAUCUCUUCGAUUAAGAGUCUGCUCUUCCUUUGAUUUGAAUUUCAGCGUGUGUGCUCUUGUUGUUCUUCAUUUUUGUUUAGUUGGUAUUUGCUAAGGAGGUUGGAAUAGUGUUGGUUCGUCGUUAGUUCGACACAGAUGUUGGUAUUUUGGUAUUCCGAUGCCUAAAGGCUAAAUAAUUUAAAAUCGUUUUGUAAGUUUGUAUAGAUUUAGUUUGGUUGAACAUUGUUCUUCUACCUCGAUCUGGACUUUGUUGCUGUCUGUCUCAUCCUUGUUUCAUCCAACUUCUAGUCGGAAAUUGUCUGUUCUUUACAGUGGUUUCUUGAAGAAGAUGAAACGAUUUUAAAAACGGAUGCUUACUUCUCGAUCCUGCUUCAUUCUUGUGUUGUCUCUGCUUAACUGUGCUCUUCUCUUUGCAUUUUAUAUUUUCUCAUGGGUGUGAUUCGUUUGGUUUGCAGUCUUCUAAUGCGGGUACAUGUUUCGCUUUCCUUUGCACACUGUUUUUUUUUAAAUUGGUUGAAAUAUGAGAGCAUUGCCAAGCAGAAUGUGGGUUUUGUUUACCUCUGCAUUAGUUGCCUAAUUUAAGUUUGCCAUUGUUAAUUUAGACAUUUUGCAUUUUAAGGGUUUAGGAUAGUUUAGCUUGCCAUGAUUGCUGCUGUGUUUGUUUUGGACAUGAAGGUUCAUAAGUGCACAUCCAUAUUACUGUUAAUGCAUGCUGUUUUGCUUUUCUUUUUAUGAGAUUUUGUAAGCUCCUUUCUUAGCUCAUACGAGUUCUUGUUUUGAAAUCGUUGUUACAGCUUAAUUCAAAUACUCAAAUGGGUGUACAUUUCUUUUUUUAUUCUCUGUUUUGCUCAAGAUUCGUUUGGUUAUUUUAUCACUUCAUGUGCUAAUCCAUUUUCGUUUUAUUGCAUGAAAAAUUAUUCUCGAGCUUCAUGGACCUCACUCCAAUUCCUUGCACCUUCUUGUUGAGCCGUAAAGGCUCAAAACAUAUUUCUUCGAGUCAUAGACCCCCCUCAAGACUGGCGUACAGGUUGAACACAAAAAAAAAAACGAGCUGCUGGAAGUUACAGUUUGCAGAAACUUGAUUGCAGUUUAUUUUGAAGCUGUGCACUUACUUUAUACACAGUGUAUACACUGAUAUACAGGUGGAAAAUGCACAUGAAAUCCGAACUCAAAAUCUGGGUUGAUGACCGUAAAAAUACACUGCUGAAAAGGAGUUUUCAACUUUCGAAAGUUGAAAAACAGGCUGAUAUAAAGCCUGUAUAUGCAUAUAUACAGGAACGGUAUACCUUAGAUAUGUGUUAAAAAUGUGAAUUGCAAGUUAACGUACAGGGACGCCGAUUUUAUUAAAAGACAGGAUUAGGCGAUGAAUUCGUGCGUAGGGUACAGCCCGUAUACAGUGGUAUAUACUUUUGGGCAGCGAUAUACAGUUGUUAAACAGGUUAAAAAAUGAUACAGGUACAAAUACGCAGAAACGAUGUGGGAGAUACAGGGUGAAUAAGCGAUAAACACGUAUUCGAACAAAUGCAGGGCUCAAAAAGUCCAAAAAUGGAUUGAAUAUACAUCGUAUACAGUAGUAUACAUCUUGUGUAUAUUCGUUAUUUCUUUUUUCAGGGAAAUUGGGCCAAGCCCCUUUUCAGCAAAGUUUUAAUAGGCCCAAAUACCAUUGUUUUGCAGGAUGUUUAGAUUGCUAAAGAGGGCCCAAUUAUUAGAAUUUAGGACAGGGGGGCCAAAGCCCAAUUAAAUGAAUUUGGGCAAUCAAGCGCAAGUUAAAUAAUUUUUCUCUUUCUUUAUUGUUUGUUUGAGUUAAUUAAUUUUUGGUAGAAUUUUUAUAAUCUCCUAAAUGGUAGCCAUUUUUCAUUAUUUUAAAUUUUACUAUUUUAUUUACUUAUUUUGUUUUAUUUACUUUUAUCACCAUUUAGUUUUCCUUAAAUUAAUUCCCUCUAAAUAUCUCCCUUUAGAAAUAAAAUAAAAAAAAUGAAACAAAAAAUAUUAAAAUGAAUUUUCUCUUUACUUAUGUAGAAAUUUUAUUUUAAAAGUCAUUCAGUCAAAUCGCCGGUCAACCGCGAGUUAGCGGGCAUCCCGAGGGCCUAAUACCUUCUCGGGAUGUACAUUGAACUUCGAACCUUUUCAAUCGAUUUUUUAAUCUGUUUUUGAAUCUUUUGAAACUUUUUCUUGAUUUUAUCAAAAUCAAGUGGUGACUCCGUAAUUUGGAAAGUCGAUUUUUCUUAAAUAAUAAGAUUAAUUGAUUUUUCGAAACCUAGUCAUCUUCACACCAUUUUUUAACAAAUAGUAUUUUUAAAAAUAAAACAGGUGGCCUAUAAGUUGGCCUUGCCACCUAGUUUGUCGGCAGUUCAUCCUGUUUACCAUGUCUCUAUGCUUCAGAAGUAUAUUCCGGAUGAAUCUCAUGUGAUUUCACUCGAUUCUGUGGAGCUGGGUCCAGACUUGACAUAUGAGGACGAGCCUAUAGCUAUAUUGGCUAGGCAAAUCCGAAAGCUCAGGACCAAGGAGCUUUUUUCAGUGAAGGUGCAAUGGAAGCACAGUUCAGUAAGAGAAGCAACUUGGGAGACAGAGUCUGACAUGCGUGUCAGAUAUCCUCAACUUUUUGAAGCUUCAGAAAAAGAAAAAAAGGGAACAAGAAGAAAGGGCGAAGGGUUUUGAUAGUUGCGGCUUACGAACUGCUCCGAGUUACGAGCCCGGAUUUUCGUGAUACCUUCCAUUCUCUUCGUUUCUAAGGCAUCUUGUAGAGGAUUGUGAGGUAGUUGAUUGUCAUCUCAGCGAACUUUCCUACUCUAGUUUAUGACUUUGUUUUUACUUGAAAGACAACUUCAUUUUAGACUUUUAUUUU